rnacentral:rRNA from 1 species
UACGUAGGGUCCGAGCGUUGUCCGGAAUCAUUGGGCGUAAAGAGCGCGUAGGCGGUCCGGUAAGUCAGCUGUGAAGGUCAGGGGCUCAACCCUUGAAAGCCGGUUGAUACUGUCGGGCUAGAGUCCGGAAGAGGCGAGUGGAAUUCCCGGUGUAGCGGUGAAAUGCGCAGAUAUCGGGAGGAACACCAAUGGCGAAGGCAGCUCGCUGGGACGGUACUGACGCUGAUGCGCGAAAGCUAGGGGAGCAAACGGG